GCUCGUAUGGUCUAGCGGUCGAGGACGUCGGCUUUUCACGUCGAAGGACACGGGUUCGAAUCCCGUUACGAGUACCA
rnacentral:tRNA from 1 species